ACCUUCGGGCCUCUUGCCAUCAGAUGUGCCCAGAUGGGAUUAGCUAGUAGGUGGGGUAAUGGCUCACCUAGGCGACGAUCCCUAGCUGGUCUGAGAGGAUGACCAGCCACACUGGAACUGAGACACGGUCCAGACUCCUACGGGAGGCAGCAGUGGGGAAUAUUGCACAAUGGGCGCAAGCCUGAUGCAGCCAUGCCGCGUGUGUGAAGAAGGCCUUCGGGUUGUAAAGCACUUU
rnacentral:rRNA from 1 species